rnacentral:sRNA from 1 species
CAGCGUCUAUAUUAAAAACACCAGGCAUGCAAU